CAGAGAGCGAGAGAGAGCGCUUCUAGUGGAAAGAGGGAAGGCGCUGUCGUGCAGCGCGAAGCCGCCGCCGCCGUCGCACGCCCUGUCACCGCGGUUGAUGAUGGGUUGCCGAGCCUCGCCGCGCCGCCGUGCCUGGUUGCCGGGAAACGGCACUGCCGUUACUGAGAUCUACUGUCGUUGCUGUCUUUGGAGCUUGGGGCUAUUGUCGUCACUUGAGGUAGCUGUCGGAGCUUCUGCCCCUCCGUUGCGGCAUUUUUCUUUAAUUGUGGUAAUUUAUUCUAGCCCUGGAAUUCUUACCGUUAUUAUUCUGCUAUAAAAUUUUGAGAAGUUCAUGAUGUUAAUAUGCUAGGGUCGAGUUCUGGAAACUGUAUGAUUAAAAUAGAGGCUGUUACGGUGUCAUCCUUCUU